AAAGGAUUGACAUUACAAUGAAGAUCAGACAUUGGUCAAUGUUUUUGUUUUACACCAACUUCAGUGACUACCUCAUGAAGCUGGUUGAGAGAAUGCCAAGAGCUGUCAUCAAUCAAAGGGUGGCUACUUUGAAGAAUCUAAAAUAUUCAGUCCUUCAUUCAUGGUCUGGCAGUAUAGAUCUAAACACAGAAUGGAACGCAAAUAUGUACCAGCUCUCGUCCUCUACGGCUUCUGUAAGUUACUGUAUCUUCAGUUCAGAUUUUGUGAUUCAUCAAUAGAUUUGGUCUCUCGCAUAGUUGUGUUAAAGGUGUGUAUUUAAUGUGCAUGAAGAUUAUGUUUUGUAACUUUUAUUCUCUCUCUAUCAGAUCUGACCCGUGUUGUGUGUGUCUCUCCGCCACCCUUAAUGGUGGUACAUUCAGGAGAAAAUGUCAGCCUGCAGUGCAUCAAUGUCCUUACAACACACGGACAUGUUGGCUGGUUCAAGCAAGUCAACGGCUCAGAGCCGCUGUGCAUCACGUCUAUGUGGAGCUCCUUGCCAACUGUUCAACAUCAAAAUGGAUUUCAGGACAAUCAUAUGGAUAUGGUCAUGACCAACAUAACGAUCUUUCUCACAAUCACAGAGGUGGAAGUAGCUGAUUCUGGUCUGUACUUCUGAGGAAUGUUGGAUAACUAUUUAAUCUUCACCAAUGCGACUGUCCUGAAGGUCCAAGGUAAUCAUUUCAAUAAAUUGUCAGCUAUGAAGCACAAACAUUUAUCUAAUGCACAAACAUUUAUCCUAGGUAUCAGAUAUAAUUUUGACUUAAUGUUGGAGAUACAAUACUAUCUAGUAUUACAGUUUGAAUAACAGUAGAAUAUUUAACUCACCUAAUUGUUCAAAAGGUCACAAAGAUUAUGACAAGGACUCUACAGAGCACCAUGAAGAAGGUAUAUUCAUUCUGUAAUUUUAAGUGAGAAUCUUUGAGAAAUGAAUUGAUAUGAUGUACCAUGAAAGUACCACAGAAUAGAAAUGAGUCUGAGUCUGCACAACUCUGCGUGGACCUUGGAUCAAGAGAGACGCUCAAGUGUUUUAGUACUAUAUCUCUUUACACAAUGAUGAAAAUAAUCAUGGCCUCUAAACCUUCAAGCUGCUUACUGGACCCUAUUCCAACUAAACUACUGAAAGAGCUGCUUCCUGUGCUUGGCCCUCCUAUGUUGAACAUAAGGUGGUAAAUGACAUUUUAAUGGCAUCGGACCGAGGCUCUGCAUCUGUCCUGUGCUCCUAGACCUUAGUGCUGCUUUUGAUACCAUCGAUCACCACAUUCUUUUGGAGAGAUUGGAAACCCAAAUUGGUCUACACGGACAAGUUCUGGCCUGGUUUAGAUCUUAUCUGUCGGAAAGAUAUCAGUUUGUCUCUGUGAAUGGUUUGUCCUCUGACAAAUCAACUGUAAAUUUCGGUGUUCCUCAAGGUUCCGUUUUAGGACCACUGUUGUUUUCACUAUAUAUUUUACCUCUUGGGGAUGUUAUUCGAAAACAUAAUGUUAACUUUCACUGCUAUGCGGAUGACACACAGCUGUACAUUUCAAUGAAACAUGGUGAAGCCCCAAAAUUGCCCUCGCUGGAAGCCUGUGUUUCAGACAUAAGGAAGUGGAUGGCAGCAAACUUUCUACUUUUAAACUCGGACAAAACAGAGAUGCUUGUUCUAGGUCCCAAGAAGCAAAGAGAUCUUCUGUUGAAUCUGACAAUUAAUCUUAAUGGUUGUACAGUCGUCUCAAAUAAAACUGUGAAGGACCUCGGCGUUACUCUGGACCCUGAUCUCUCUUUUGAAGAACAUAUCAAGACCAUUUCAAGGACAGCUUUUUUCCAUCUACGUAACAUUGCAAAAAUCAGAAACUUUCUGUCCAAAAAUGAUGCAGAAAAAUUAAUCCAUGCUUUUGUCACUUCUAGGUUAGACUACUGCAAUGCUCUACUUUCCGGCUACCCGGAUAAAGCACUAAAUAAACUUCAGUUAGUGCUAAAUACUGCUGCUAGAAUCCUGACUAGAACCAAAAAAUUUGAUCAUAUUACUCCAGUGCUAGCCUCCCUACACUGGCUUCCUGUCAAAGCAAGGGCUGAUUUCAAGGUUUUACUGCUAACCUACAAAGCAUUACAUGGGCUUGCUCCUACCUAUCUCUCUGAUUUGGUCCUGCCGAACAUACCUACACGUACGCUACGGUCACAAGACGCAGGCCUCCUAAUUGUCCCUAGAAUUGUCCCAGCUGGAGGCAGGGCUUUCUCCUAUAGAGCUCCAUUUUUAUGGAACGGUCUGCCUACCCAUGUCAGAGACGCAAACUCGGUCUCAACCUUUAAGUCUUUACUGAAGACUCAUCUCUUCAGUGGGUCAUAUGAUUGAGUGUAGUCUGGCCCAGGAGUGGGAAGGUAAACGGAAAGGCUCUGGAGCAACAAACCACCCUUGCUGUCUCUGCCUGGCCGGUUCCCCUCUUUCCACUGGGAUUCUCUGCCUCUAACCCUAUUACAGGGGCUGAGUCACUGGCUUACUGGGGCUCUCUCAUGCCGUCCCUGGAGGGGGUGCGUCACCUGAGUGGGUUGAUUCACUGAUGUGGUCAACCCCCCCCCUUGGGUUGUGCCAUGGCGGAGAUCUUUGCGGGCUAUACUCAGCUUUGUCUCAGGAUGGUAAGUUGGUGGUUGAAGAUAUCCCUCUAGUGGUGUGGGGGCUGUGCUUUGGCAAAGUGGGUGGGGUUAUAUCCUUCCUGUUUGGCCCUGUCCGGGGGUGUCCUCGGGUGGGGCCACAGUGUCUCCUGACCCCUCCUGUCUCAGCCUCCAGUAUUUAUGCUGCAGUAGUUUAUGUGUCGGGGGGCUGGGGUCAGUUUGUUAUAUCUGGAGUACUUCUCCUGUCCAAUUCUGUGUCCUGUGUGAAUCUAAGUGUGCAUUCUCUAAUUCUCUCCUUCUCUCUCUCGGAGGACCUGAGCCCUAGGACCAUGCCCCAGGACUACCUGACAUGAUGACUCCUUGCUGUCCCCAGUCCACCUGGCCGUGCUGCUGCUCCAGUUUCAACUGUUCUACCUUAUUAUUAUUCGACCAUGCUGGUCAUUUAUGAACAUUUGAACAUCUUGGCCAUGUUCUGUUAUAAUCUCCACCCGGCACAGCCGGAAGAGGACUGGCCA